rnacentral:rRNA from 1 species
AGUUUGAUCCUGGCUCAGGACGAACGCUGGCGGCGUGCCUAACACAUGCAAGUCGAACGAAGCUCUGCGAUACAAGACUUCGGUCAAGUUGAACGGAUGACUUAGUGGCGGACGGGUGAGUAACGCGUGAGGAACCUGCCUUUCAGUGGGGGACAACAGUUGGAAACGACUGCUAAUACCGCAUAAUGUAUUCUGACCGCCUGAUCGGAAUACCAAAGAUUUAUUGCUGAAAGAUGGCCUCGCGUCUGAUUAGAUAGUUGGUGAGGUAACGGCCCACCAAGGCGACGAUCCAUAGCCGACCUGAGAGGGUGACCGGCCACAUUGGGACUGAGACACGGCCCAAACUCCUACGGGAGGCAGCAGUGGGGAAUAUUGCACAAUGGGCGAAAGCCUGAUGCAGCGACGCCGCGUGAGCGAAGAAGUAUUUCGGUAUGUAAAGCUCUAUCAGCAGGGAAGAUAAUGACGGUACCUGACUAAGAAGCACCGGCUAAAUACGUGCCAGCAGCCGCGGUAAUACGUAUGGUGCAAGCGUUAUCCGGAUUUACUGGGUGUAAAGGGAGCGCAGGCGGUGCGGCAAGUCUGAUGUGAAAGCCCGGGGCUCAACCCCGGUACUGCAUUGGAAACUGUCGUACUAGAGUGUCGGAGGGGUAAGCGGAAUUCCUAGUGUAGCGGUGAAAUGCGUAGAUAUUAGGAGGAACACCAGUGGCGAAGGCGGCUUACUGGACGAUAACUGACGCUGAGGCUCGAAAGCGUGGGGAGCAAACAGGAUUAGAUACCCUGGUAGUCCACGCCGUAAACGAUGAAUACUAGGUGUUGGGAAGCCAUUUUUUCUCGGUGCCGUCGCAAUCGCAGUCAGUAUUCCACCAGGGGAGGUACGUUCGCAGCAAUGAAAAUCAAAGGAAUUGACGGGGACCCGCCACAAGCGGUGGAGCAAGAGGUUUAAUUCGAAGCAACGCGAAGAACCUUACCAAGUCUUGACAUCCUUCUGACCGGUGCUUAACCGUACCUUCUCUUCGGAGCAGGAGUGACAGGUGGUGCAUGGUUGUCGUCAGCUCGUGUCGUGAGAUGUUGGGUUAAGUCCCGCAACGAGCGCAACCCUUAUCUUUAGUAGCCAGCGGUCAGGCCGGGCACUCUAGAGAGACUGCCAGGGAUAACCUGGAGGAAGGCGGGGAUGACGUCAAAUCAUCAUGCCCCUUAUGACUUGGGCUACACACGUGCUACAAUGGCGUAAACAAAGGGAGGCAAAGCUGUGAAGCCGAGCAAAUCUCAAAAAUAACGUCUCAGUUCGGACUGUAGUCUGCAACCCGACUACACGAAGCUGGAAUCGCUAGUAAUCGCAGAUCAGAAUGCUGCGGUGAAUACGUUCCCGGGUCUUGUACACACCGCCCGUCA